AUUGAACGCUGGCGGCAUGCCUUACACAUGCAAGUCGAACGGUAACAGGUCUUCGGAUGCUGACGAGUGGCGAACGGGUGAGUAAUACAUCGGAACGUGCCUAGUAGUGGGGGAUAACUACUCGAAAGAGUGGCUAAUACCGCAUGAGAUCUACGGAUGAAAGCAGGGGAUCGCAAGACCUUGUGCUACUAGAGCGGCCGAUGGCAGAUUAGGCAGUUGGUGGGAUAAAAGCUUACCAAGCCGACGAUCUGUAGCUGGUCUGAGAGGACGAUCAGCCACACUGGGACUGAGACACGGCCCAGACUCCUACGGGAGGCAGCAGUGGGGAAUUUUGGACAAUGGGCGCAAGCCUGAUCCAGCAAUGCCGCGUGCAGGAUGAAGGCCUUCGGGUUGUAAACUGCUUUUGUACGGAACGAAAAGCCUUGGGUUAAUACCCUGGGGUCAUGACGGUACCGUAAGAAUAAGCACCGGCUAACUACGUGCCAGCAGCCGCGGUAACAC
rnacentral:rRNA from 1 species